CAAGGCCAUCAAGCGACAGAUGUUCUUACAAAUGGAACACCAAUUGAGUUCAACUUACAACUUCUACUGAGGACCCCUGGACCGACGUGCUGGCACUUCCCCUGGCCUAGAGAGUUCCCCUCUGAAAGACACUACAACUGCAGGGCCCCUUCUUUGCCCCUAUCCAGCAGGAAGUAGCUAGAGCGGUCAUCAGCCAAAUUCCCAACAGCAGUUGGGGUGUCCUGUUUAGAGGGGGGAUUGAGAGGUGACAGCGUGCUGGCAGCCCUCGCAACCCUCGCUUGCUCUUGGUGCCUCCUCUGCCUGGCUCCCACUUUGGCAGCACUUGAGGAGCUCUUCAGCCCACCGCUGCACUGUGGGAGCCCCUUUCUGGGCUGGCCAAGGCUGGAGCUGGCUCCCUCAGCUUGCAGGGAGGUGUGGAGGGAGAGGCAUGGGCGGGAACCAGGGCUGCGCAUGGCGCUUGCUGGCCAGUGAGAGUUCCGGGUGGGCGUGGGCUCGGCGGGUCCCCGCACUCAGAGCAGCCAGCUGGCCCCGCCUGCCCCGGGCAGUGAGGGGCUUAGCACCUGUGCCAGCAGCUGCUGUGCUCUACUUCUCGCCGGGCCUUAGCUGCCUCCCCGUGGGGCAGGGCUUGGGACCUGCAGCCCACCAUGCCUGAGCCUCCCUCGCCUCUGUGGGCUUCUGUGUGGCCCGAGCCCCCCCGACGAGCACCACCCUCUGCUCCAUGGCGCCCAGUCCCAUCGACCACCCAAGGGCUGAGGAGUGCGGUUACACAGCGUGGGACUGACAGGCAGCUCCACCUGCGGCCCUGGUGCAGGAUCCACUGGGUGAAGCCAGCUGGGCUCCUGACUCUGGUGGGGAGUUGGAGAACCUUUAUGUCUAGCUAAGGGAUUGUAAAUACACCAAUAGGCACUCUGUAUCUAGCUCAAGGUUUGUAAACACACCAAUCAGCACCCUGUGUCUAGCUCAGGGUUUGUGAAUGUAACAAUUGACACUAUGUAUCCAGCUACUCUGGUGGGGACUUGGAGAACCUUUGUAUCUAGCUAGGGGAUUGUAAAUACACCAAUCGGCAUUCUGUAUCUAGCUCAAGGUUUGUAAACACACCAAUCAGCACCCUGUGUCUAGCUCAGGGUUUGUGAAUACACCAAUUGACACUGUGUAUCUAGCUACUCUAGUGGGGACGUGGAGAACCUUUGUGUCUAGCUCAGGGAUUGUAAACGCACCAAUCAGUGCCCUGUCAAAACAGACCACUCGGCUCUCUGUAAAAUGGACCAAUCAGCAGGAUGUGGGUGGGGCCAGAUAAGAGAAUAAAAGCAGGCUGCCCCAGCCAGCAGUGGCAACCCGCUUGGGUCCCCUUCCACACUGUGGAAGCUUUGUUCUUUUGCUCUUUGCAGUAAGUCUUGCUGCUGCUCACUCUUUGGGUCCACACUGCCUUUAUGAGCUGUAACACUCACGGCGAAGGUCUGCAGCUUUACUCCUGAAGCCAGCAAGACCACAAACCCACCGGGAGGAACAAACACCUCCAGAUGCACUGCCUUAAGAGCUGUAACACUCACCGCAAAGGUCCGCAGCUUCACUCCUGAGCCAGCGAGACCAUGAACCCCACCAGAAGGAAGAAACUCCAAACACAUCCAAACAUCAGAAGGAACAAACUCUGGACACGCUGCCUUUAAGAACUGUAACACUCACCGCGAGGGUCUGCGGCUUCAUUCUUGAAGUCAGUGAGACCAAGAACCCACCAACCAGACACAUUAGGACCCCUCGGAUAGUGACAGAUCUGGAGGACGGUUGUCUGGGACAGGAGAGUAAGACUGAGAAGGCCACGUCAAUGUCCAGGAGACAGUUAAUCUCCUGGCCCUCAAUGAUCAAGCAUACCUGGGGCUCUGUGAGGGUGAUGGCAUGGGCUGGCACUUGCCCUGGGCACCCUCAGUCCUGCUGCUGGAUCAUCGGGUUAGUGGCUUCUGACUCAGAGGACCUUUGUCCCCUGGGGCAGCGGCCUUCCAUUGAGUCCCUUGACAUAAGGGGCACGGAUGAGGAGGCGGCUUACUUCUAUUCUGACAAUCUUUUUAAAAGUGUCCUUGUAGACCACACUGGAAGCAAGUCCUAUUAGGCAUUCAAUUUGCCCAGACUUUCCGUGUUCCAAAGCCUCCAAUGUCUGCUUGCCUAAGGGCCAUGACUAAAGCGGUGGCCUUUUUCUUAUCUCAUUUGUCCCCUUCCUCCUGCUCCUCCUGAUCUCUAUUAUAAAAAACCGAGGUUGUGAAAUCAAUAGGGUUCCUAAGUUUUGCUCCGGGCCUAAGGUGGACUUUUGAUGUUUUUUCUAAUGUCUGCAGCUAACUGAGUGAUAAACUUAUCCUUUAAGAUUAGUUGGCCUUCAAUAGAGUCCGGUGACAGAGUGGUAUGCUUCCUCAAUGCCUCCCUUAGUCUCUCCAGAAAGGCAGUAGGAUUUUCUUCCUUUCCCUGUGUGAUAGUGGACACCAUUGAAUAAUGUAUAGGCUUCUUCCUACUUUUCCUUAGUCCUUCUAGCAUGCAAGUUAGUAAAUGUCUGUGGCACCAAUCUCCAUGUAUUCUGCGUCCCAGUGAGGGUCUACACUGGGCUUUUUGAUUCUGUAAGUACUUUAAGGGUUGGCCGAGUGCAAACAGCUCCCAUGUUUGAGCAGACCAAUUAUUAGGCAAUUUUCCUAACUCUGCUUCCGCAAGAGUCUCCCUAUCAAUUACUGCAUACCCAUUGUGUUUUUUUUUUUUCCCUCAGUCACCCGGGAGGAACCAUCUAUCAUCCUGCCUUGAAGGUAGUUUCUGCUGGAUCUGGUCAGACCUUUGUAUGGUAAUGAGGAUUUAAAUCCCCUGUUAGGAAAUCUGCUAGGUUAAUGUAAUUUGCUGUGGUUAAUGUUAAAUCACCUUUUUCUAGCAGAAUAGCCCCAUACUUUAAGAUUUUUGAGUUAGUAAGCUCCCUUUUUGCUUUUUGACUUAGGAUAGUUCUGAACUGGUGAGGUGUGCUCACAAUGAGGUUUCCUCUAAAGGUUAUUUUUCUGCUUUCUUCUGUUAGCAAAGCAGUUGCUGCUACAGAUUGAAUGCAUUUGGGCCAUCCACGGGUUCCUGGGUUAAGGAUUUUUGAUAGAAAGGCUACUGGUUGUCAGUGGCUUCAGUGCUUUCGGGCUAGGCCUUUGUUUACACUGACAACAAAAUGGUAUUGGAGUGUUAUGGGGUCACAGAGAAGACCUUCAAUUAUCAAUUAUAGGUUUUAAAUUUACCCUGGCUUUUAAAGAAAUAGGGUACACUUUUUUCUUUACUACUUCUAUCUUUCUCUUUCUCUCUUUCUUUCUCCUUUCUGUCUUUGUAGAUGGAUUUUGGAAACCCAGUGGAAGGAUGUUCGCUCAUUGCCCCCAUUUGCCACUAUAGGACUAUGCGCCUCCCUUUUAUUUACUCAAUUUGCUUUUAUCCUGAUCUAUUAUGUUGUUGUAGACCCAGUUCCAGUUGUUACAAUACUGGGUUAUCAGUUCUAAGGCCCUGGCAAGGGUGGUGUGGAACAGGUCCCACAUAACUGCCCAUGUCGAGAGCUCUAAGCCUAAAUUGGGAGGGACACCAGGGACAAGACUCCUGGGUUCAUAGCCUAGGGGCCUAAGGUCGCAGCAUAGAGCUUCCUUAGAUCCCUUUGGAGAUACUAAUACUUGGGAGAGGAAGUGAAAGUCUGAAGCAUUAGUAUCUAGGAGGCAGGGAUCAGAGGAAGUAGAUUCAGAGGUAAGGAGAAUUUUGGGGCUACACUUUCAAGAAAGUUGUGGUCAGGACCCAGGAGGUAUGGGUCAGAAGGAAAGGUAGAGGCACACGCACGGGUGACUGUUGAGUAGGGACUUCUGGCUGCGCCAUGAUCUCAACCGGCUAAUGCCGAGAGUUUGGGAUGACAGCUUUCUGCCUCUAGUCGGCCCCCGGCUUCCCCAGGGAAAUUGAAAGUGGAAGCUGGUUCCAGGUAGACCAGCGCUUCCAACCCAGAAGCGUUGGGGGUUGUUAGAAAGCCAUUCCCCAGACAGCCUCACACUUGAGUCUUAAGUCUGGUGGCCGCCCUAUCGUUUUUAACCGUCCGACAGGUGCCUGGUAUUUUCCUCCAAUUCUAAGGAAGGGUAGAACAGAAUAGCAAGCGAAAGCGCUUUGGAGGUCCCUUCAUGAUUGCCAAAAUGUUACCAGGGAGUCCUUGUUCUUAGAGCUCCAAAGAUGAUGGUGGGCCGCUUCCAUGAUGGCGGCAAGCCUCUUGUUCUCUGACCUGGGGUUCCUGGCCUCACGGAUACUAAGGAAUGGAAUCUUGGGCCAUGCAUUGAGUGUUAUAGCUCUAUUCAGCCCAAUUAGGAUGAACCCCAGGCACUUAGCCCGCGCAGGAACAAUGGCAAGCCUCUAGCCCGAUUGGGAGCAGCAAUGGACACUGCCUCGCUGGAUCACAAGUGCAGCAGAUCCACCCCUGCCAGAUCCAGAGGGUUGGAAGUCAGCUGCGGGUCUGCAAUGACGGCAAACAGUGGUGGACGGCGAGUGAAAGCUCAGCUCGAGCCAUAAAAAACACAGACCAGAAGAGUGUGCAGUUGCAAGAUUUAAUAGAGUGAAAACAGAGCUCCCAUAAAAUGGGAGGGGACACAAAGGGGGUUGCCCUUCAUUCUGUUUUUCAUAAGGACUGUACUAAUUUACACUCCCACCAACAGUGAAUAAGGGUUCCAUUUUUUGCACGUCCUUGCCAACACAUCUUAUCUUCUGUGUUUUUGAUAGUAGUCAUUCUAAUAGGCAUGAAGUGAUAUCUCAUUGUGGUUUUAAUUUGCAUUUCCCUGAUGAUUUGUGAUGUUGAAUAUUUUUUUCAUAUACCUACUAGCCAUUUGUAUGUCUUCAUUUGAGAAAUUCUAUUCAAGUCGUCUGACCAGUUUUUAAUUAGGUUAUUUGCUUUCUUACUAUUGAGUUGUUUCAAUUCCUUAUAUAUUUUGGAUAUUAACCCCUUGUCAGAUGUUUGGUUUGCAAAUAUAUUUUCUCAUUCUGCAGGUUGUCUCCUUACUCUGUUCAUUAUUUUUGUAGUUAUGCAGAAGCUUUGUAGUUUGAUGUAAUCCCAGUUGUCCAAUUUUGCUUUUGUUGCUUGUCAUUUGGGGACAUACCCAUAAUUGAUCUUAGCCAAAAGGCUGAGAAGUGAUUUGGGUCAUAUUAAAAAAUAUCAUUGCCAAGACCAAUAUAAUGGAGUUUUUUUCUAGGUUUUCUUCUGGUAAGUUUAUAGUUUCAGGUCUUAUGUUUAAGUCUUUAAUCCAUUUUGAGUUGACUUUUUUACAAAGUGUGAGAUGAGGGUCUAGUUAAUUUUUUUUUUUUGUAAAUUGACAAAUUAUAGUUGUAUAUAUUUAUGGGGUACAAAGCAAUGUUUUGGUUUAUUAAUACAAUGUGGAAUAAUUAAAUCUAGGUUGAUAUUAAAUCAAUAAAAUUGACAUCCAUCACUUUAAAUACUUAUUUUUUUGUCAUGAAACAUUUGAAGUUUACUGUUUUAGUGAUUUUGAAUUGCACAGUACACUAGAAUUAACUAUAUACGUCAUGCUGAUGUAAUAGAUUUCAAAAAACAAACACUUAUUCCUCCUGUUCAACUGAGGCUUUGUACCUUUUGACAGUCAUCUCCCAU
rnacentral:lncRNA from 10 species